rnacentral:rRNA from 1 species
GGAAUAUUGGACAAUGGGGGCAACCCUGAUCCAGCCAUGCCGCGUGAGUGAUGAAGGCCUUCGGGUUGUAAAGCUCUUUUGGCGGGGACGAUGAUGACGGUACCCGCAGAAUAAGCCCCGGCUAACUUCGUGCCAGCAGCCGCGGUAAGACGAAGGGGGCUAGCGUUGUUCGGAAUUACUGGGCGUAAAGCGAGUGUAGGUGGUUGUCCAAGUUGGAUGUGAAAGCCUUGAGCUCAACUCAAGAAAUGCAUUCAGGACUGGAUGACUAGAGGACCGGAGAGGAUAGUGGAAUUCCCAGUGUAGUGGUGAAAUACGUAGAUAUUGGGAAGAACACCAGUGGCGAAGGCGGCUAUCUGGACGGUUUCUGACACUAAGACUCGAAAGCGUGGGGAGCAAACAGGAUUAGAUACCCUGGUAGUCCACGCCGUAAACGAUGGGUGCUAGACGUUGGCGAGCUUGCUCGUCAGUGUCGCAGCUAACGCGUUAAGCACCCCGCCUGGGGAGUACGGCCGCAAGGUUGAAACUCAAAUGAAUUGACGG